ensembl:lncRNA
UAUUGAUCUGAUGCAGGAAUAUCAGCCAAAGACAGACAGCAUGGAUGAUAAUGGAGACUGCCUGUGUGACCUCAUCAUGUCAGUUGCAUCAUAUGAUUUAAUAUGGUGCUGCACAUUCUGCUGGGUGUAGCAGAGGUGCUCAGAACAUCAUAUAUUUCUUGGUGUGUGUGAGUGUAUUUCCACUUUCUGCUGUGCGAGGUAGCUUACCAUGAAAAUCCUUUGCUCGCAGCAGAUAUUUGUCCCCUUGUUGCACAGAGGAUAUCAACAUAUAAAGAACACCUGUGAGAAAAUCAUAGUGAGGUGGUUGUGUUGGUUUACACAAUAUCUAAUGUGGUGUUCACAUUUAAACACGGGAUCCAGUAAGCUGUUCAAAGGUUGAUUUUUUUUUUUUUUUUUUAAACUAAUGAUAGUUAGGUAAGUUAUUGUCCUGAAAGCUAGCAUAACACAGUAAUCUAAUGUAACACAAGUAAUAUACAGUCACUGGUUACUUCAUUAGUUACACAUUGCCAGGACUGUUGACCUCCUGUUUGCUGUCAGAACUGCCUUCAUUCUUCAUUGCACAGAUUCAACAAGGUGCUGGAAACAUUCCUCAGAGAUUUUUGUCCAUGUUGACAUGAUACCAUCACACAGAUGCUGCAGAUUUGUAGGCUGCACAUCCAUGAUGUGAUUUUCCCGUUCCAUCACAUUCCAAAGGGAGCUCAUUGUCACCUUCAAGAACCAGUUUGAGAUGAUCUGAGCUUUCUGACAUGGUGUGUUAUCCUGCUGGAAGUAGCUAGCGGUAGAUGGUUACACUGUGGUCACAAUCAGAUGGCUAUGGUCAGAAAAGAUACUAUAUCCCCCACCUCGUUUCACAACCACCUGUCUAAACUGUUGAAACAAGACAGGAUAGAUCCAUGGUUUUAUGUUCGUCUGACUCUAUGCAAUCCAAAUCUUGCAGCAGAAAUCAAGACUGAUCAGACCAGACAUUUUUUUUUUAAAUCUUCUGUUGGACAUUUUUGGUGAACCCCUGUGAAUUGUCGUCUUCUGCAUUAGCCCAUCUGCUUAAAGGCUCAACAUGUUGUGCAUUCAGAGAUGC